GAUGAACGCUGGCGGCGUGCCUAAUACAUGCAAGUCGAGCGAACGGACGAGAAGCUUGCUUUUCUGAUGUUAGCGGCGGACGGGUGAGUAACACGUGGAUAACCUACCUAUAAGACUGGGAUAACUUCGGGAAACCGGAGCUAAUACCGGAUAAUAUUUUGAACCGCAUGGUUCAAAAGUGAAAGACGGUCUUGCUGUCACUUAUAGAUGGAUCCGCGCUGCAUUGGCUAGUUGGUAAGGUAACGGCUUACCAAGGCAACGAUGCAUAGCCGACCUGAGAGGGUGAUCGGCCACACUGGAACUGAGACACGGUCCAGACUCCUACGGGAGGCAGCAGUAGGGAAUCUUCCGCAAUGGGCGAAAGCCUGACGGAGCAACGCCGCGUGAGUGAUGAAGGUCUUCGGAUCGUAAAACUCUGUUAUUAGGGAAGAACAUAUGUGUAAAUAACUGUGCACAUCUUGACGGUACCUAAUCAGAAAGCCACGGCUAACUACGUG
rnacentral:rRNA from 1 species